rnacentral:lncRNA from 1 species
AAGCGGCUGCAGGAGUUGGUUAACCUUGUGGUUGUCUGCGGUGACCACGGCAACCCGUCCAAGGACAAGGAGGAGCAGGCUGAGUUCAAGAAGAUGUUUGACCUUAUCGAGCAGUACAACCUGAACGGGCACAUCCGCUGGAUCUCUGCCCAGAUGAACCGUGUCCGCAACGGUGAGCUCUACCGCUACAUUUGCGACACCCAGGGUGCUUUCGUGCAGGUAACUAUCACGCUCCUGCGUUUUUUCAUGGUGCUGAAAGAUUCAUGCUUGAGUGCAAAUUUAGUCGGUACUGACCAUGCCUGUUUUCUGCAGCCUGCUUUCUAUGAGGCUUUCGGUCUGACUGUGGUUGAGGCCAUGACCUGCGGUCUGCCCACAUUCGCUACCGCCUACGGUGGUCCAGCUGAGAUCAUCGUGCACGGCGUGUCCGGCUACC